GGAUCAUUAAAGAGUUUAAUAAAACUCCUAAACCCCUGUGAACUUACUGGUGUUUGGCUCGCCAGAUAUAGUCUGGUCCGUAAGCAAAUCGACUGCCUGCCUGUGUAACAGGCAGGUAAGCUUUUGUCGCGGGGUCCCGGAUCAACCCGGGCUAGAUAGCCACUUAACUAUAUACUUUUUAUAAAAUCUGUGAACUUACUAGGUUGGAUUCUCGCCAGAGAUAGUCUGGUUUCUGCUUCGCGGAUCGCCUACCCGUGACACCUGUCACAGGCAGGUAUGCUUCUGCCGCGGGUCCGUAAGUAAAUCAUCUGUUUCGCAAGGGACGGCGAUUUACCUGUGGAAGAGGUCCUCUAACUAUAUUCUUAGUAUAGUUUGUUCACUAGAUCAAACAUUCUGAAUAAAAACUUAAACUAGUUAAAACUUUCAACAACGGAUCUCUUGGUUCUGGCAUCGAUGAAGAACGCAGCGAAAUGCGAUAAGUAAUGUGAAUUGCAGAAUUCAGUGAAUCAUCGAAUCUUUGAACGCACAUUGCGCCCAUUAGUAUUCUAGUGGGCAUGCCUGUUCGAGCGUCAUUUCAACCCUUAAGCCCCUGUUGCUUAGCGUUGGGAGCCUACAGCCUGCUGUAGCUCCUUAAAGGUAGUGGCGGAGUCGGUUCACACUCUAGACGUAGUAAAAUCUUUAUCUCGCCUAUGGAUGAGCCGGCGCCUUGCCGUAAAACCCCUAAUCUUUCACAAGGUUGACCUCGGAUCAGGUAGGAAUACCCGCUGAACUUAAGCAUAUCAAUAAGCGGAGGAAAAGAAACCAACAGGGAUUGCCCUAGUAACGGCGAGUGAAGCGGCAACAGCUCAAAUUUGAAAUCUGGCCUUCGGGUCCGAGUUGUAAUUUGCAGAGGAUGCUUUGGGCGCGGUGCCUUCCGAGUUCCCUGGAACGGGACGCCUUAGAGGGUGAGAGCCCCGUACGGUUGGACACCAAGCCUCUGUAAAGCUCCUUCGACGAGUCGAGUAGUUUGGGAAUGCUGCUCUAAAUGGGAGGUAAAUUUCUUCUAAAGCUAAAUAUUGGCCAGAGACCGAUAGCGCACAAGUAGAGUGAUCGAAAGAUGAAAAGCACUUUGAAAAGAGGGUUAAAUAGCACGUGAAAUUGUUGAAAGGGAAGCGUUUACGACCAGACCUUUUCGCAGCGGAUCAUCCGGUGUUCUCACCGGUGCACUUCGCUGGGUUGAGGCCAGCAUCGGUUUCCGCAGGGGGAUAAAAGCCUGGGGAACGUAGCUCCCUCGGGAGUGUUAUAGCCCCUCGCAUAAUACCCUUGCGGGGACCGAGGACCGC
rnacentral:rRNA from 1 species